AUUGAACGCUGGCGGCAGGCUUAACACAUGCAAGUCGAACGGAACCUUCGGGUUUAGUGGCGAACGGGUGAGUAAUACCUAGGAAUCUGCCUAUUAGUGGGGGGAUAACGGCUCGAAAGGGUCGCUAAUACCGGCAUACGUCCUACGGGAGAAAGAGGGGGAUCUUCGGACCUCUUGCUAAUAGAUGAGCCUAGGCCGGAUUAGCUAGUUGGUAGGGUAAAGGCCUACCAAGGCGACGAUCCGUAGCUGGUCUGAGAGGAUGAUCAGCCACACUGGAACUGAGACACGGUCCAGACUCCUACGGGAGGCAGCAGUGGGGAAUAUUGGACAAUGGGGGCAACCCUGAUCCAGCCAUGCCGCGUGUGUGAAGAAGGCC
rnacentral:rRNA from 1 species